CCAGAGGCGUUCCAGGUGUCCCCAAAGGCGUCCCAGGUGUCCUCAAAGGUGUUCCAGGUGUCCCCAAAGGUGUCCCAGGUGCCACCUCAGGUGUCCCCACCACUGUCCCAUUGGGUGUCCAGGUGGUCCCAGCGGCUCCAGCCCCAGGUAGGGACAUCCCAG